rnacentral:lncRNA from 1 species
CAGGCUCCGUAGGAAAUAGGGAUGAUCUUCUUUUUGCCAAUCCUUCAAAAUGCAGCAAGGGGAGGAUGAGAUCUUAUUUCAUAGCUGAAGGAAACUUGGACAGGAACCUUAACGCCCAAAGGAAGGAUGCCCAAGGGUCUUCACACCCAAAAAAAAAAAAACAACAGCAUCCACUCCUUAUGUUUUCUCAUGGUGGUCUUUUCCUUUGUGUUGCAUGAAAGGUUUUUUGUCCUUUACCAUGUAAUAGGGUCCUCCCUUUAAUAGAUGAGGCACCCCAAAUCUAAUUAAAGACACCA